rnacentral:rRNA from 1 species
AACGAACGCUGGCGGCAUGCCUAACACAUGCAAGUCGAACGAGACCUUCGGGUCUAGUGGCGCACGGGUGCGUAACGCGUGGGAACCUGCCCUUAGGUUCGGAAUAACUCCCCGAAAGGGGUGCUAAUACCGGUUAAUGUCUUCGGACCAAAGAUUUAUCGCCUUUGGAUGGGCCCGCGUUGGAUUAGCUAGUUGGUAGGGUAAAAGCCUACCAAGGCGACGAUCCAUAGCUGGUCUGUGAGGAUGAUCAGCCACACUGGGACUGAGACACGGCCCAGACUCCUACGGGAGGCAGCAGUGGGGAAUAUUGGACAAUGGGCGAAAGCCUGAUCCAGCAAUGCCGCGUGUGUGAUGAAGGCCUUAGGGUUGUAAAGCUCUUUUACCCGGGAUGAUAAUGACAGUACCGGGAGAAUAAGCUCCGGCUAACUCCGUG